CCUACGGGAGGCAGCAGUGGGGAAUAUUGCACAAUGGGGGAAACCCUGAUGCAGCGACGCCGCGUGAGUGAAGAAGUAAUUCGUUAUGUAACGCUCUAUCAGCAGGGAAGAAAAUGACGGUACCUGAGUAAGAAGCCCCGGCUAACUACGUGCCAGCAGCCGCGGUAAUACGUAGGGGGCAAGCGUUAUCCGGAUUUACUGGGUGUAAAGUGAGCGUAGACGGCAGUGCAAGUCUGGAGUGAAAGGCGGGGGCUCAACCCCCGGACUGCUGUGGAAACUGUACGGCUGGAGUGCAGGAGAGGUAAGUGGAAGUCCUAGUGUAGCGGUGAAAUGCGUAGAUAUUAGGAGGAACACCAGUGGCGAAGGCGGCUUACUGGACUGUAACUGACGUUGAGGCUCGAAAGCGUGGGGAGCAAACAGGAUGAGAUACCCGUGUAGUC
rnacentral:rRNA from 1 species